CAUGUUUUCAGCAGUUUUACAAAGCAGCGUGUUUUGUGCACCCAAUCUGCAGGUGCAGCAAAGACCUUGGCAAGGGGCAAACCGAUUAUCACUUAUGAAAACAGAUACACUGUAUUGUUCAUACUUCUCCAAGGUCUUCAGCAAAGCAUAAAUUCUCAUGAAAAUUAAGGUUUUGCAGUUCAAGCAUCAGACAGCUAACCAGGUGUCUCGGAAGCGUAGCAGUUAUCCUGGAUUUUGUCAUUCAGUAGAAAAAUGGUCAUGAAAUACAUUUGUAACGUUUCUGUCCAAUUAAUUUUACUCUAAAUAGCAAUGUAUCACAUCAGUUCUGGGGGGAAAAAAUACUGUUUUUAAACUAUGUACCUGUACAUGCCGCAUGUCAAAUAAAAAUCUAAUGUUUCAGUCACAGAUCAAAA